rnacentral:sRNA from 1 species
AUCAGUGUGAGGAGUGAGGUCUGUAGAAGAAGUGCUUGGGGUCGAAACACGGCCAGACUCCCAGGUACUUUUUCCA